rnacentral:tRNA from 1 species
UCUAAUGUGACAGAAGUAAUGUGGUGAGCUUAAAAUUCAUUUAUAAAUGUUUUCAUUUCUUUAGAA